UCGUGUUGAUUUGCUGUGGUUACCCAGUGU
rnacentral:piRNA from 1 species